AUACGGACGGUGCAAGCGUUAUUCGGAAUCACUGGGCGUAAAGGACGCGUAGGCGGGUUGGCAAGUCAGAUGUGAAAUCCUACAGCUUAACUGUAGAACUGCAUUUGAAACUGCUAACCUAGAGUAUGGGAGGGGGAGAUGGAAUUAGUGGUGUAGGGGUAAAAUCCGUAGAUAUCACUAGGAAUACCGAAAGCGAAGGCGAUCUCCUGGAACAUAACUGACGCUAAGGCGUGAAAGCGUGGGGAGCAAACAGGAUUAGAUACCCUAGUAGUCC
rnacentral:rRNA from 1 species